AACGAACGCUGGCGGCAUGCUUAACACAUGCAAGUCGAACGCACCUUUCGGGGUGAGUGUCAGACGGGUGAGUAACGCGUGGGAAUCUACCCUUCUCUACGGCAUAGCUCCGGGAAACUGGAAUUAAUACCGUAUACGUCCUGAGGGAGAAAGAUUUAUCGGGGAAGGAUGAGCCCGCGUUGGAUUAGCUAGUUGGUAGGGUAAAGGCCUACCAAGGCGACGAUCCAUAGCUGGUCUAAGAGGAUGAUCAGCCACAUUGGGACUGAGACACGGCCCAAACUCCUACGGGAGGCAGCAGUGGGGAAUAUUGGACAAUGGGCGCAAGCCUGAUCCAGCCAUGCCGCGUGAGUGAUGAAGGCCCUAGGGUUGUAAAGCUCUUUCAGUGGGGACGAUAAUGACGGUACCCACAGAAGAAGCCACGGCUAACUUCGUG
rnacentral:rRNA from 1 species